GAUGAGUCCCAAAUAGGACGAAACGUACGUC
rnacentral:hammerhead_ribozyme from 1 species